AUGGCUUCAUCACUUAAAUUCAUUGUGUAUGUAGCUUGUCUUUUGGUUUCAGUUGCAGUUGCUGCUGCUCAAUAUGGUGGUGGGUCUGACUAUGAUGCAAAUGCACCUUCUGCCUCUCCACGAAGCCUCAGUUAUCCUACUGCCAUCAUUGUUCUUGUUCCUUUAAUGCUUGCUUUUCUUGCAGCCAAUCAAAGUGUUUAA